GGACCCGCACAAGCAGCGGAGCAUGUGGUUUAAUUCGACGCAACGCGAAGAACCUUACCUGGGCUUGACAUGUACCUGACCGCCCUGGAAACAGGGUUUCCCUUCGGGGCAGGUUCACAGGUGGUGCAUGGCUGUCGUCAGCUCGUGUCGUGAGAUGUUGGGUUAAGUCCCGCAACGAGCGCAACCCCCGUCGCAUGUUGCCAGCAUUUAGUUGGGGACUCAUGCGAGACUGCCGGUGACAAACCGGAGGAAGGUGGGGAUGACGUCAAGUCAUCAUGCCCCUUAUGUCCAGGGCUACACACGUGCUACAUUGGCGCGUACAGAGGGCUGCGAUACCGCGAGGUGGAGCGAAUCCCUCAAAGCGCGUCUCGGUUCGGAUUGCAGGCUGAAACCCGCCUGCAUGAAGGUGGAGUUGCUAGUAAUCGCGGAUCAGCAUCGCCGCGGUGAAUACGUUCCCGGGUCUU
rnacentral:rRNA from 1 species